UACAGAGGUCCCAAGCGUUGUUCGGAUUCACUGGGCGUAAAGGGUGCGUAGGUGGCCAGGUAAGUUUGGUGUGAAAGCUCGGAGCUUAACUCCGAAAAGUCAUUGAAUACUAUCUGGCUGGAGGGUCGGAGGGGAGACUGGAAUUCUCGGUGUAGCAGUGAAAUGCGUAGAUAUCGAGAGGAACACCAGUGGCGAAGGCGAGUCCUGUGAACAACCACGACACUGAGGCACGAAAGCUAGGGGAGCAAACAGG
rnacentral:rRNA from 1 species